UGCGUAGGUGGCCUUUUAAGUUGGAUGUGAAAUACCCGGGCUUAACCUGGGGGGUGCAUCUAAUACUGGAGGGCUAGAGUGCAGGAGAGGAAAGCGGAAUUCCUAGUGUAGCGGUGAAAUGCGUAGAUAUUAGGAGGAACACCAGUGGCGAAGGCGGCUUUCUGGACUGUAACUGACACUGAGGCACGAAAGCGUGGGGAGCAAACA
rnacentral:rRNA from 1 species